CAAUGGCCAGUCUACAGACAGGCUCUGUCCCUCCCUCAAAGAGUUCAACCUCACUCACAGCUGUAGUUUGGAGAUAAAGUCAUGUUAUCGGCAGAUGUAUAGGGUGAGUGGAUUCCUACACCAUGCACUCUGACUGGGAUGUCUGCCUCAUAAGAGAUCCUAGUGGCCAUGGGCAGAGUCCUGCAAACUGUGAGCCCAAACAACCCUUUCCACGGAUGAAGCAGGUUGUUUCAGGUGUUUGUAACAACCUGAAAUAACCUAGUGUAACAACCGCUCUCACCUAAGCAUGAUGCCCAUUAAUUGUCUUUAUUUUAAAUUUU